AUCCCAUGAUGUGGACAUCUUUGCAAUAGUUUUUUAAACCUCUCCCAAGCUUCAUACAAGGACUCUCCAUCAAAUUGUGUGAAUGAAGUGAUAUCGUUCCUCAACUU
rfam:Theobroma cacao cultivar Matina 1-6 chromosome 10, whole genome shotgun sequence.